GGCCAUAGUGGGUGAUAGCCCUGUACGCGAAAAUCCCUUUGCAAUGAAAUCGAGUAGGACGGGGCACGAGAAACCUUGUCUGAAUAUGGGGGGACCAUCCUCCAAGGCUAAAUACUACUGACUGACCGAUAGUGAACCAGUACCGUGAGGGAAAGGCGAAAAGAACCGCGGAGAGCGGAGUGAAAUAGAUCCUGAAACCGUAUGCGUACAAGCAGUGGGAGCCCACUUUGUUGGGUGACUGCGUACCUUUUGUAUAAUGGGUCAGCGACUUAUUUUCAGUGGCGAGCUUAACCGAAUAGGGGAGGCGUAGCGAAAGCGAGUCUUAAUAGGGCGUCUAGUCGCUGGGAAUAGACCCGAAACCGGGCGAUCUAUCCAUGGGCAGGUUGAAGGUUGGGUAACACUAACUGGAGGACCGAACCGACUACCGUUGAAAAGUUAGCGGAUGACCUGUGGAUCGGAGUGAAAGGCUAAUCAAGCUCGGAGAUAGCUGGUUCUCCUCGAAAGCUAUUUAGGUAGCGCCUCAUGUAUCACUGUAGGGGGUAGAGCACUGUUUCGGCUAGGGGGUCAUCCCGACUUACCAAACCGAUGCAAACUCCGAAUACCUACAAGUGCCGAGCAUGGGAGACACACGGCGGGUGCUAACGUCCGUCGUGAAAAGGGAAACAACCCAGACCGUCAGCUAAGGUCCCAAAGUCAUGGUUAAGUGGGAAACGAUGUGGGAAGGCUUAGACAGCUAGGAGGUUGGCUUAGAAGCAGCCACCCUUUAAAGAAAGCGUAAUAGCUCACUAGUCGAGUCGGCCUGCGCGGAAGAUGUAACGGGGCUCAAACCAUGCACCGAAGCUACGGGUAUCAUCUUUUGAUGAUGCGGUAGAGGAGCGUUCUGUAAGCCUGUGAAGGUGAGUUGAGAAGCUUGCUGGAGGUAUCAGAAGUGCGAAUGCUGACAUGAGUAACGACAAUGGGUGUGAAAAACACCCACGCCGAAAGACCAAGGUUUCCUGCGCAACGUUAAUCGACGCAGGGUUAGUCGGUCCCUAAGGCGAGGCUGAAAAGCGUAGUCGAUGGAAAACAGGUUAAUAUUCCUGUACUUCUGGUUAUUGCGAUGGAGGGACGGAGAAGGCUAGGCCAGCCUGGCGUUGGUUGUCCAGGUUUAAGGUGGUAGGCUGAGAUCUUAGGUAAAUCCGGGAUCUUAAGGCCGAGAGCUGAUGACGAGUGUUCUUU
rnacentral:rRNA from 1 species